rnacentral:rRNA from 1 species
AUGCAAGUCGAACGGGAAUCUUCGGAUUCUAGUGGCGGACGGGUGAGUAACGCGUAAGAAUCUAACUUCAGGACGGGGACAACAGUUGGAAACGACUGCUAAUACCCGAUGUGCCGAAAGGUGAAACCUAAUUGGCCUGAAGAAGAGCUUGCGUCUGAUUAGCUAGUUGGUGGGGUAAGAGCCUACCAAGGCGACGAUCAGUAGCUGGUCUGAGAGGAUGAGCAGCCACACUGGGACUGAGACACGGCCCAGACUCCUACGGGAGGCAGCAGUGGGGAAUUUUCCGCAAUGGGCGAAAGCCUGACGGAGCAACGCCGCGUGAGGGAGGAAGGUCUUUGGAUUGUAAACCUCUUUUCUCAAGGAAGAAGUUCUGACGGUACUUGAGGAAUCAGCCUCGGCUAACUCCGUGCCAGCAGCCGCGGUAAUACGGGGGAGGCAAGCGUUAUCCGGAAUUAUUGGGCGUAAAGCGUCCGCAGGUGGUCAGCCAAGUCUGCCGUCAAAUCAGGUUGCUUAACGACCUAAAGGCGGUGGAAACUGGCAGACUAGAGAGCAGUAGGGGUAGCAGGAAUUCCCAGUGUAGCGGUGAAAUGCGUAGAGAUUGGGAAGAACAUCGGUGGCGAAAGCGUGCUACUGGGCUGUAUCUGACACUCAGGGACGAAAGCUAGGGGAGCGAAAGGGAUUAGAUACCCCUGUAGUCCUAGCCGUAAACGAUGGAUACUAGGCGUGGCUUGUAUCGACCCGAGC